AACGAACGCUGGCGGCAGGCCUAACACAUGCAAGUCGAACGGGAUCUUCGGACCUAGUGGCGGACGGGUGAGUAACGCGUGGGAACGUGCCCUUUGGUUCGGAAUAGCCCUGGGAAACUGGGAGUAAUACCGGAUGAGCACUUCGGGGGAAAGAUUUAUCGCCAAAGGAUCGGCCCGCGUUGGAUUAGGUAGUUGGUGGGGUAAUGGCCUACCAAGCCGACGAUCCAUAGCUGGUUUGAGAGGAUGAUCAGCCACACUGGGACUGAGACACGGCCCAGACUCCUACGGGAGGCAGCAGUGGGGAAUCUUAGACAAUGGGGGAAAGCCUGAUCUAGCCAUGCCGCGUGAGCGAUGAAGGCCUUAGGGUUGUAAAGCUCUUUCAGUGGGGAAGAUAAUGACGGUACCCACAGAAGAAGCCCCGGCUAACUCCGUGCCAGCAGCCGCAGUAAUAC
rnacentral:rRNA from 1 species